rnacentral:rRNA from 1 species
UACGAAGGGUGCUAGCGUUGUUCGGAAUCACUGGGCGUAAAGCGCGCGUAGGCGGCUUUUCAAGUCAGGGGUGAAAUCCUGGGGCUCAACCCCAGAAUUGCCCUUGAAACUGUAAAGCUAGAGUGUCGGAGGGGAUAGCGGAAUUCCUAAUGUAGCAGUGAAAUGCGUAGAUAUUAGGAGGAACACCGGUGGCGAAGGCGGCUAUCUGGACGACAACUGACGCUGAGGCGCGAAAGCGUGGGGAUCAAACAGG